AUCCCUCCAGCCGCCGCUGCCACAUUUCUCCUCCACCCCCUCGUCUCUCUCCUCUGGAACUCCCUCCUCUUCCGCGCGCCCAUCACCCAGCGCUCGCGCGCUCGCCUCCUGGACCAGCCGCCGUCGCGCCGCUGGGCCUCGUCCACCGCGGAUUUCCAUGGGGAAGGAGCAACGACGGGGCUAGGCUCCAGGCGGCGCACACUUCAUGGGGAGGCAAGGAACCAGGAGGUGAUGGGGUCAGAUCUGGCGGUGGUAAGUCGGAGCUCGAGCCAAGGCCGUGACGGGGAAGGUCAAAAAAUAGGGAGACCGGAUGGAGGUGCUUGAGGCGGAGGAAGGCCCGUCGGCAAGCUUGAGCUGGAGACGCACAAUUAGCGGCACCGGCCAUCGGAUGGUAGGAGCACGAGGCAGCGCUCCCGUCGCUGGGUGGUGGAGCUGCACAGGAGGGGGAGGAGGCUGGCGACAGGGAACCGGGCCGGGAGGAGGCAAGGUAUCUGUUGUCAUGUGUUUUUUUUUUUUUUUGCAUUUUUCUCCUACCGUGCAUCUAUUCAUUGUCGGAGUGGAUUCAUAGCAACAAAUUUUUGGAUAAAUAAUGAGUGCCAAGAUAUGUAUGUUGACAAAUGGAUGAGAGGUGUUCAGAGAAAGAUUUGAGCCAUACAUGCGCCAGGUUCUGAGAAUCUGUGAAUGUAAUUGGAAUAUUUUCAAUUGCAAAUCAUUCCCUAAUAUUAUGGUUAUAAGUCUUUUUUUCGUCCUGAUGUUCUCAAUAUUUCUAGAUAACCAUGUUUUGUUGGACUUAUUGAUAAAGUAAAUUUUCUGGUACAAGUUUGGCUCCAAGGAAAGUUAUUGUAUUUACUAAUAUUUUUUUAAUUUAACACCAUGACUAUGCCUCGAUAUUACAAUUGUCGUAAUGGUGUGGAUUGCUAUAUAAAGUUCUAUGUUUGAAGGGAUGUGUUGUCAGAAAUUCUCAUACACGAUUCUUUAGUAGGAAGGGAAUUUCAGUCCUUCAAAAGUGAAGAUGAUCAUGCCUUUCUGUUGGAUUUGGUUUUUUGGUUUAAGCAAUCAUUCAGGUUAUUGAAACACCCGUGUGCCUCUUUUCUUGUCUGAUAUGAGGAAAAUGGUUUAGAGUAAUUACCGGCAGGAGGAUCGCUGGGUGGUAGCUGAGUGGGAGGGUUCAGAUUAGGGAUUACGAGUAUGAAGUAGAUGUGAUAGAUUGUAACUCUUCUCGCUUGAUUAAUUCAUCUCAAGAGGUCCACUUUAUAUAUAGAGGCCUAACAAUUAAAAAAUUAAUCAUCCUUACAUGCAUACAUGCAUGCGUCACUCUGGAGCCAAAAACUAAUUACGAGUAUGCAGGUUGCAGUCCCUUGCUCUACAUAUAACUCGCCAACUCUACUAAUUCAUGUAUCAGUAUAUGCAUAUAUGUAGUCCGUUCCCAGUACAUGUGUUCGGAAGACUGGACAUUUGUACUUAUUCAAAAUUUUCUUUUCAUAAAAGUUCCUUGGAAGAGAUUGCUAAGUUUAACGAGCAAUGUCCCUUUUACAUCUAUUUACAGAGUGUUUUCUUUUGGUUUCACCACAUUUUUAGGUUUUUACAGGUUGUGUAUAGUAGAGGAGGCAUUGAGGAUGAAACAUGAAUGUCCAUUGUUCUUGUCCGCUCCUGAUCUCAGUAGACCUGUGUGAUGUGCUCUUGAUCCUUUCUUCUUUUUUUUGUUAAAUGAAUCUCUGACCGAGGAGAGCAUGUUCUUUUAUUCGGUUGCAAUCGUGAAACUUUUUUUGGGUUUUCUUAUUGUACAGUACGAACCUUCCAAAUUAUUUGAUCCUGGAAAUAAGUUGCCAAUUUUCUGUGUGCAAUGAGCUGGGAGCCGGGGUCAGCCCUCUCACCACCAGUCGAACAUACAACUUCAGCCACCAUGUCGAGUGAUAUAAAAGUGUUCUCUGUUUCAUAGAGCAACGCCACGAGAAUGUGCCUCCUCUUUCUCCUGGUGCAUGUUGCUGCCCUCCUUUCCCCUCUGACUUGACUUGCUUUACAUUGUGUGAAGUUGUUUACUUUCAACUUUACAACGCUAUAUCAAGUUCGCAACUGUACUUGGCUACAACUAUAACAUGAUGCAUUUCUCUUCCAGUUUAUUGAAUAUAUUUUUAAGGAUUGAAUGUUCUAUCUGGUACUGUCCUAUCACUCAUUUAACUAUCUUAAUUUGUUCACAAAACUCCUUCUGUAGCUAAGAUUUCUUUGUACAACACAUACUAAUUAUUGCUCUUAUUCUUAAAUCUUAUUUCACUUUAUUCAGUUGUAGGCUGGGUUAAGAUUGUUUUUGUGCCAGAAACAGACUAGGCAAUGCUCUAACCUUGGCAGCAAAAAUCGUCUAAAUUUCAUAAAUAAGGUAGUGGAAUAUCUUUGAAUAUGUUCAUUUAAAUAUCUUGAGUUCACCUGUAUGGGUUGCUUCUGCGCACACUUUCUUUGAUACGAAUUUCUAGGUGAGAAAUUCUUUCAUGGUAAUGAUGUAUUAUCGAUAUUUACUAUGUUUCUUAGGCCUAUAGGUUUCUUUUUGUGGGAUGCAAUUACGGUACAAUAUGAAUAUGAUCCUUGAGUUGCAUAUUAUUGCCUUUGGACAUAGACAUGUGCCAUGUAGUAUAACAUUUAUAAAGAAUGUCUUGGAAAUUGCAAGUAGAUGAUUACGGUUACCCUGUAACCUUAGGAGUAAGAUAUAUAUGAUGAUAGAAUCUAGAGAUUCUUGCUAAUCUAUAACAAUAAGAUCCAAUCACGUGCAAUAUGUUUUAUUCAUAAAAACAGGGAAUCAAUCUGGCUGAAAGUAGUCAUCUUAUGGCAUGGCGUGAAGAGGUUGUUCACAAACCUCUGUUAGGUGCUCCAUCCUUUGUCACUCUGAAUUGAUUUCCUAAUAUCUGGCUUCUCUGAACAGAUGUGUGCAGAUCUGAGAAAGAAGAGGAAUAAUCCAGAACAAUUUAGUGAAUAAGAACAAGUUGGCAUUUCUCUCUUGUGAACGCAGUCAUGCCUGCCUAUUGAUUUUAUUAUUUGUGCUAAUGCAAACAUGAAUUCUCUAUAGUUCUUGACGCAGCACCGCUAAUUACUCAAUCUGCAAUACAUGAUCAUUUCUGGUAGAAGUUUAGUGCAUGAAUUAGCAUUCUGUAAAGUUGGUCUAAGCUCAUGUCUCUAGGCCAGGAUAGAUUUCUCAAUAUCAUUUUUGGGAUUGUUUGAACACUGAGCAACAUUGCCAGGUCAACCAUUUCUCAUUUCUUUGUCAUAUCUGUAAAACAUUGACACACCAAGCUUACGGGUGGUGUCUCAAUUUUGUCACCAGCCACUUCCACCGACCCGUAAACUGUCUGUCUCGAGGUCUCCCCAACUAUGUUUGGGUUUAGAAAAACAAAGAACUAUUUUGAAGUCAUUUUCGCAUCAGCUACUUUGUAGGUAUUAUGUGCGUUGUCAGGGAUCUAAUAUCAUGUAGUUCCAGGGAUUUCAGAAGGUCUGGUCAGUCCAUUGUUCUUGCCAUGUGUUACUUUUUCUCAUUACUGUGAUCGUCAGUGCUCUUGACAUUGGUUACUUUUUCUCAUUACUGUGAUCGUCAGUGCUCUUGACAUCGGUUACUUUUUCUCAUUACUGUGAUCAUUUGUGCUCUUGACAUCGGUUGUUCUUGCUUUAUGGUUGCCUUCCCAGUGCACUUUUAUUAGUUGUAACAUAUUAAUGUUAAUAUGCUUGAUUGACCAUAUUAUAUAUUUCACUUCACCGGGGUGGUUGGUGGAAGUGGUGGUUAAAAUAUUUUGGUUAAAACAAUGUCUCUAAUUAACAAGUUUAUACAGUUGAAUCUUCUUGAUUGGCUAUUUUGUAGCUUGCUCUUAGUUGUAUAGUAUUAAUUCUUAAAACUGGAUCUCUUAAAAUUAGUUAAAUUGAAUGAGUUGCUUCACUGUUUUCAAAUAAGUAGUUUCAUCCCUCACUGUGUCCUGAACUUAUUCUUACUGCCUUUUAUGACUUAAAUGUAACUAUUGGCAUAUAAUCUCAUGGCUUAAAAUCUUAGUUGAGAAUGUAUUUAGAAGUUAUAAGAUCUGGAGUUUCCACUAUUUCAUCCAGCGGUAUUCCCAGUAACUGAAUAUUAAGAGCACUGACGAUCAUAGGUUGUACAUUUAGUUACCGGGAAAUGCUUUUAUCUUGCAGGCCAGUUUUACAUUUACUUUUUCAAUAAUGAGAUGACUAUGAACAGAGUAUCAAGUUUUUUGCCUUGGCAUUACUGCCGCUGUCUACGGAUGGUUACUAAAAGAAGAAGGAUUCAAGCGGCAUACCUUCACUUGACAGAUGCUUUAACCGCAAGAACUGUUGUUAUUUUCUUUUCCUUUCCUACUCCCUCCGUCCGAAAAUACUUGUCAUCAAAAUGGAUGAAAAGGGAUGUAUCUAGAACUAAAAUACGUCUAGAUACAUCUCCUUUUAUCCAUUUUGAUGACAAGUAUUUCCGGACGGAGGGAGUACAUUGAUUUCCUACAAUGAUGAUAGUUUGCCUUUGAUUCUAGAAGUCGCAAAGGGGACUGAAGGGUAGAGAUUUCCAUUGUCGUUGAAUUGGUGGGAUUGUCACCAACUUAGUGUUGCAGAUUGUUUCUAUUUUAGAGCAAGAAGCCAAAUCAUGUUGUUCAUUGUAAAUCUUGAAUAACUUGUUUACUGUCACUUCUAUAUCUAUUGUAAACUUUCGUUCCUGGUGUGGUACUUAUCAAUCUUGGUGUGCCCUUC